GGAGUGAAUUAAAAGAGAAGAAUAAUAUUUGAAGAAAGUUGUGCUGUGACCACUUCAUAACUGGUUUGGUAUACUCCAAAAAGGGUGAUGGAGGAUGGAUUCUGACUGAAUAAAUUUCUCGGAUAGAAAUCAAGGCAGUUCGCCAGACUAUCUCGGAGGAGCCAAUUAUUCGAGUUAUUAAUAAUAAUUUAUGAUCAAUUAUAGUUAAUUAAAUCUACCUUCACUUAAGGUAGCUAAAACAUAAUUCUAUGCCAAUUAUUCUAAUGCAUAAAGUAGUUUAAUUUCAUUAAUUAUGAUUGUAAUUAAUUUGUAUAAUAAAUGUGUGAAAUAAUUAAUUGUAAAAUGCAUGAAUACUGCUUACAAAUAAUUAUAAACGUAGCUAUGAAAUUAAGAUAUCUAUGUAUAAAUAUAUGUAAAGCAUGGCUGUGUGUUUUACUUGACGGCAACCAACGGUUCAAGUCAAAAGCACAUGUGAAGGACAUAUGUGCUCGUAGUAUAACAAUGCAAAACGCGUGGGUCUACCUUCUUUGUGUUAUCUUUAAAUAAUCUGAGUAAAGUAUUUGUCAUCUGCGAUUCCACUCUGCGUGGGAGCCUCUCCCCCGAGAUGCAAUAAAAUACGUUGCGUUGUUACGACGGCUCGAUGACGCCCGGGACAUUAUUAGCUUUAAUGGAUACGAAGACCCGAGGUCGCGUGAAAAUGGAUUAUAUUAAGUGUAGUCGCGCGAGUCGUGCCGUUCGUAGUGCUCGCAGAGUUCGCGAGGAGGUACUUGCGAGCUUCCUUCAGCGCGAAGCGGACUCCCGCGUAGUAACUCGGUGGAGAUCCUUAACGUGCAAGACACACGUCCCUACUUCGCGCUACUUCUAGCCGUAAUAGUAAUCAGUUGGAAGUCGAAGGUGAAGGAACCAAGGAAAACCGGACGAGUCCCUCGACAUGCUCUCCUGAUUGGACGCCGAUAACAUCCAGUGAUAAUGACAUUCAGUGAAACGGGUGAAAAGUGAAAGAGGUGUUGCGUUUGACAGCUUGCUGCCUUCAGUUGAAAAGCACGUUUCUCGCACUUGUCAUUCCGCGGCGAAAAUUUCUCCUUUCGCAUGCAUUCGACCGAAGUGCAGCCUCAUUUAAACUGGACACAUUCGAACGUCUUGCCACAGUGCCGUAAAGGUGGUGCAUUUCGAUAAUCGCGCACGCAGUUUGAGCGGUGAAUUAUUUAGUGAUCUGUGUACAUAGCUGUCUCGAAAACAAACUUUUCGUACUCUGAGAAAUAUCGAUGCGUUUUGCUUUUGAGUAACUUUUGUUUUUUUUUGUAAUGUAUGCUCUUUGGUCGAGACUUUCGUGCAAAGUGAAAUUAUUUGAUUAUCAUCGUAAUAAUUUGAGAAAUUGUUGAAGUUACGAGAAAAAGUGAAGUGUUUCACCGCUCAGUAAACUUAAUAAUUUACAAUUAGAUAUUACUCGGGAAAUUAAACGACUAUAAUAUUUAUGUGCUUAUAAGCGCGCAUGAACAUAGGGACAGUAAUCUACUACUUUCUACACGAUAAUAUACAGUUUAUUCGGUAAAUUACGGAAUACUGGAUCAAUGUAAUUAUAUACAGAAUUAAAAAUAAAGGCAAUAAGAUAAAUGUGUAUUAGAUGUUAGACACGCGUAUUUGGAUUUUUAUCCCUUAUCCCUUUAUCCUUACGACUGCUCAAUGUACAUUAACAUUAUGCGGCAUAUUGCUUAUUACAUAUAUCGAAUAUACAACGCAUUAUAAAUCGAGUUUCUCUCAGAUAAAGAUACAUAAAAAAUUUGCAUUGAAUUCAUAAUGUAAAAACGAUAUCAUAUCAGUGAGCAACGCUAUGCCAUCUUUUUGAUCAUUAAUAAAAGUUUUAUUUCUUUUUCUAAUUACACAAAGAUGGCAAUCGAAACGGAAUGCAAAGCAGUACUAGAAGCCCAUUCUUCAAGUAAGUAACAAGUAAUUUUCAUAUAGUUUAGAUUUAAUUUUUCUACGAUCGGACAGCGUAAGUGAAAUCGAAUUAAAAAAGAGCACUUGAAGAAUUGGACCUAUUAUUGAUUCACAUUCAAUUCUCUCCAUUUAUAUUUCUAAGUACAGUCACAUCGACAGGUAACGUUAACUUCUCGCUGAGUUUGGUCAUUGCAACGUAGUCUGCUGUACUAUGUAUCUUGAACGCUGGUUCACUAAAAAUAAUUUUCUCUCGUUUUGCAGAGUGCGCUGACACGCGCUUCCCCAUAUUAUUUCUGGCAUGGCUGAAUCACUGGCAGCUGGUUCGGGGCGGAGCCAAAAUAGUCAACUGCUUCGGCCAACUCUUCUCUCGAAAUCACCGUGCUGACGAAGCAUCGAACGAAGGUGGUAGUCUGGGAUCGAAGACAGAGAUGAAAAAGAAUGUCUUCUUGAUGAAUCAGUGUGUCCAUUUGUUCUCUUGGAAAAUAUCAUCGUUUCGUCUUCAAGGUCGCUCGAAGCUCGCCAAGUGCCAGUGUGCACUUUUCAAUUGAAAUAUCAACGGAGCGUGUUUCGAAAGCAUAUGAAUAUAGGUUUUAAUUCUUCUUCGUUGAACAUUUAGAAACAGCUCUAAAGACUAUUCUUUUUUUAGAUAUGUAUAUAUUCGAUUCCGCGUUUGAAAUUCCUGAGUUGAGUUGAGCAUUAAUGAGGGACCAAUUUCCAAGCCAUUUGAUGUUGACAUUAAAUUUAUGAUCUGCAUUUGUAACAAAUGGCAAGAUUUUGGCAAAUGCGUAAUGCGCGCGAAUAUUCUUUAAAGAUACGGAAUCCGCAGUUUACAAUACAUUUUAAGGUACAAUUGUGCAAUUAAGUUAUAGACUUUUAGUUUCAUUAAAUAAUGUUUAAAAGUAAAAGUUAUAAAUAAAAUAUAAAGAGAGUAGAUUAUACGAGAUGAUAAGGCAUCUGCACAAGUGAGAACACGAACAACUCAAACCGUGGUCGACGUCGUCAAAUCUUCGCGGAGUUCCGCGUCGGCGGCCAAAUAUAGCCAGGUAAUGUAAUACACAUCACGUGCUCAGAAAUAGCCCAAGAAAAGGGCCUAGCCGAGUGUGCACACGGCACUGCAUCUGCUUUUCGCUCGGAACGUGUGCCGCAUGACAGAAGCAGCUUAAUGUAAAUACACAUAUAUAGAGCUGCGGGGCUUAUUAUUAAGAAAGAUCGCGUUUAUUAUGCAAACGCUCAUCGCCACGAUUAUACACUUCCGUAUUACUUGGAAGCCACAUGCUCGGUAUUCACGUAAAUCAGGAGAACCGAAAAUAUCCGUUUCUGCUGUUAUGUAGAUUUAUUUCUCUACAAACAAUUUGUCUUCCCUCGCUACGCACGAAUUGUGUAUCUUGUUGUUCUUUCUCCCUUUCUCCCUCGCGCGUUACACUCCGGAGAAUUCAAACGAAGACGUAUUCUCUCCGUUGCAAGAAUCCAACGGUAAACAUCUUUCAUCAUAUAUUACCUUAUUGCAAGAUUAUCGAGUGUAACGAUCUGGAUUUACGCAUUACGCGCGCAAAGCUCGUAAAAAGGAAACAUAUUUCACAAAUAAAAAAACAACUAUACAGGUUUUACGUGUAUUUUACGCCACGCUGGCCUUGAAUCCUCUAUCGCCAUGAAAGUUCUUCUAUCGGGCAGUCGUAAUGUCGCGUCAAACUGUCAUUUACACGACAAAGCUUGACAAAACAUGAAUAAUCAGACCAUGGUUGUCGAAACGGCAACAAACGAGACUUGGACAUACUUACAACAUUCGGUUUUAUUGCGACUUUCAUUGUACAAUAAUAAAUAGUCGAUUAGUAAAACGUUAAACGGUAUUUCUAUCCGUGUGCGUGUGUGUUGUGAUCUCUCUAAUAAA
rnacentral:lncRNA from 1 species